GAUGAAGAACGUAGCGAAAUGCGAUAAGUAAUGUGAAUUGCAGAAUUCAGUGAAUCAUCGAAUCUUUGAACGCACAUUGCGCCCCCUGGUAUUCCGGGGGGCAUGCCUGUUCGAGCGUCAUUUCACCACUCAAGCCUCGCUUGGUAUUGGGCAACGCGGUCCGCCGCGUGCCUCAAAUCGACCGGCUGGGUCUUCUGUCCCCUAAGCGUUGUGGAAACUAUUCGCUAAAGGGUGUUCGGGAGGCUACGCCGUAAAACAACCCCAUUUCUAAGGUUGACCUCGGAUCAGGUAGGGAUUCCCGCUGAACUUAAGCAUAUCAAUAAGCGGAGGA
rnacentral:misc_RNA from 1 species